GAAAUGCGAUAAGUAGUGUGAAUUGCAGAAUUCAGUGAAUCAUCGAAUCUUUGAACGCACAUUGCGCCCUUUGGUAUUCCAAAGGGCAUGCCUGUUCGAGCGUCAUUUGUACCCUCAAGCUUUGCUUGGUGUUGGGCGUCUUGUCUCUAGCUUUGCUGGAGACUCGCCUUAAAGUAAUUGGCAGCCGGCCUACUGGUUUCGGAGCGCAGCACAAGUCGCACUCUCUAUCAGCAAAGGUCUAGCAUCCAUUAAGCCUUUUUUCAACUUUUGACCUCGGAUCAGGUAGGGAUACCCGCUGAACUUCAGC
rnacentral:misc_RNA from 1 species